CUGCAAUGCAUUUUUAAAUCCAGCAGAUGCCGCCAUUAAGUAACACAGCAAAACAGUUUCAACACAGUGUUGACACAGUUUGGGAAAUGUGCCUUACACCUAAUGAGGCCUCAUCUGCCCAUUAUAGGGUCCAGCACUAGUAUCAACUAAAUUCCAUAAACUGUAAAUGUAAAAUUAAAGAGCUGAGAGAGCCGGCUGUUUUUAGUGAACCGAGCCAAAAGAAAGAAGCUUUCACUCCCGUCCAGCUGAGGGCGAGAGCGAGCGCGUGCGGCUGGAGAUUUGGGCGUCGCGAGGACGAGGAGGAGGGGUGAUAAAACUUACUGCACGCGCUAUGCUGCUCUCUUUCAGGCGGCGCUGUGAGCGCGAGCGGGUCUCUGUGUUACAGGAUGGAGCUGUUUCUUUUCGGGGGCUCUGGCAGGGAAGUAGGAGGAGGACCACGUGGCUUUGGCUGACUCCUUUCUAGCACUAGGCCAUGUGUGGGCAAUAUGGAGUUAGCUAGCUCCCAGCUGCAGCCUGUGUUUAAGGGCUUCUGUAUGUAGGCAUAAAGGCAGGUGCCUUCUUGCUGAAAGAUCUUGACUGGUAGAUGUCUUACUGAUUGCAGAAGUUUUAGCAACCUUGUCUCACUGAAGCAUCCAGUUGAUGGUGAAAGGUUCAUGGACUGAAUUGGAAAGGAUUCGGUGUUGAUGUACUGCAAGUGAAGAGGAGUGCUGAAUUACUGGAGAAUGAGCAUUUGACUGUUUGUAGUUUCCCAAUUGUAGUUCUUAGAUUCCAUAUCCUGAUCAACUAGGGGUUCCAAUGUGACAAUGUUAAGAGAUUAGUCAUACCAAUUGUGCCCCAGGAAAGAAAUGCAAAAAGUAGUUUAGGUUUGGAAUUUAAAAUGCUUGGAUUUUUUUGUUGUAACUAGGGUCCUGAUUUUUUAUAUUUUUAAUAAAGAAUUGUUACUGCA
rnacentral:lncRNA from 1 species